rnacentral:rRNA from 1 species
AGGGAAUCUUCCGCAAUGGACGAAAGUCUGACGGAGCAACGCCGCGUGAGCGAUGAAGGCCUUCGGGUCGUAAAGCUCUGUUGUCAGGGAAGAACAAGUGCGGGAGUAACUGCCCGCACCUUGACGGUACCUGACCAGAAAGCCACGGCUAACUACGUGCCAGCAGCCGCGGUAAUACGUAGGUGGCAAGCGUUGUCCGGAAUUAUUGGGCGUAAAGCGCGCGCAGGCGGUCCCUUAAGUCUGAUGUGAAAGCCCCCGGCUUAACCGGGGAGGGUCAUUGGAAACUGGGGGACUUGAGUGCAGAAGAGAAGAGCGGAAUUCCAUGUGUAGCGGUGAAAUGCGCAGAGAUAUGGAGGAACACCAGUGGCGAAGGCGGCUCUUUGGUCUGUAACUGACGCUGAGGCGCGAAAGCGUGGGGAGCAAAC